rnacentral:snRNA from 1 species
GGUUUCGGGCUUGGAAGGAUUAU